rnacentral:rRNA from 1 species
GACGAACGCUGGCGGCGUGCUUAACACAUGCAAGUCGAGCGGUAAGGCCCUUUCGGGGUACGACGAGCGGCGAACGGGUGAGUAACACGUGGGUGACCUGCCCUCCAGCUCUGGGAGUAAGCCUGGGAAACCGGGUCUAAUACUGGAUAUGACUCCAUGACGCAUGUUGUGGGGUGGAAAGCCUUGUGCGGCUGAGGAUGGGCCCGCGGCCUAUCAGCUUGUUGGG